rnacentral:rRNA from 1 species
GAUUUCUGGCGUUUCAUUUCAGGCCGGCCACGGUUUCGUGUGUUAGUGCUUGGUGUUCUGGCCAUCCUUCCAAUCGCUAUUUGUCUUUCUUCAUUGAUGGGCAAGUGGUAUUGGAUCUUUUACUUUGAAAAAAUUAGAGUGUUUCAAGCAGGCUUUAUGCUAUGAAUACAUUAGCAUGGAAUAAUAAUUUAGGACUUCGGUUCUAUUUUGUUGGUUUCUAGGACUGAAGUAAUGAUUGAUAGGGAUAGUUGGGGGUGCUAGUAUUCAGCGGCCAGAGGUGAAAUUCUCGGAUUCGCUGAAGACUAACUUAUGCGAAAGCAUU